UCGGUCCCUAUCACCCACCAUGGGAAGCGGACACGAAACGGAAGCAACCGGCCGAGCUGCUGGCCUGCUGCAGAGGCGUUGCUUGAUUGCUUCGUACAGAUAGAGAAACAGAUAGCCACUGGAUCCUUAUCAGUUGGGAACUGUGCGGGUGGCCGGUGUUUUAUAGACCUAUAAUGGAACGUGCUAUAUAUUUUGUUAUUGGGAUAUCAUUUUCGUAGCUACUGGGACGACAGUGAUAUAUAAAAGGAACGCGUACAGCAUGAAAGGGCCCGAGAUAAUCUGUCUGCAGAACUUUCAUCUGUGACCAUGAAAAAAAAUUGCCCAAUCAAGCUGGUUGUCUUGAGCCAGCUAGCCAUGACAGGUUAGCAUCUCUCUCAGUUUUUUCUCUCUCUAUUUGUUGCGUGUCUGCUGGAGAAUGUUAAGUGUCAAGCAUUACAUUAUCCUAAUGAAUUAAUGGUAUAUAAUGAUGAUGUA